UGCAGCCCAGGAAGGCUCCCUCACUGCUUAGCAACUCCUCCCCGUGACCUGGGCAACACUCAAGAUGGAGGCAAACAAGCCUCGGCGUGCCCUCUGCUCCGAAAAACAGAGGACGCCACGGAAAGCCCAGGCUCAACCCUGCACCUCAGAGCCGCCGAGGGCCACUGCCACCAGGGCAGCCUGGAAGGAGGGGGGCCAGAGUCUGUCCAGGAUUCCACCUUCAAGAUAUGUUUUUCGGGGGCUUACAGGUGAAGGGGAAGUACAACAGUAUAAGAAUUUCUUCCUGAAAACUUUUUAUGCUAAACGGAUAUAGGAAAAGUGAAUUCUUUGGUUAAGAACUGUACAGAAUUCCAAGCUCCAUUUUUUCCCAGACUGCAAGUGGACCUCCAGAAAAUGUAACUAGAGUUUAUAAGCUAAGGAAAGAUUUGCCUUUUCUGGUUUGAAACUCAUACCCUUUUAUUCCUAAGGGAUGUCUGAUUCAUAAGCAGUAGAAUGGGCUAAAAAUCAGCCCCCUGUCUAUGGGCGAAGAGAUUUCUAGCUUGGAGACCAAGGUAUAUGAGAAUAAUGUGAACGUAUUUCCUUCACAUUAAACAAUUACAUUCUGAUAUUUUUAAAAGGAGAGAGAGAAAGCCAAUCAUUUUCCUAUUCAUCAUGGUAAGAGACUGAAACAAAUGUUUUUCCAGCUUAAUCUACCAGCUACCAUUAAGUGGCUAAUCCUUUUAGAUAAUAAUCUAAAUUAUCCCCCAAACCUGAGGGGAUAGUGUGCGCAGAUGAGAGAAUGCGAAUACGAACCCGUUUUUGAGGUCCUUACAGCACUUUGUUAGUUUCUCCUGGAAGAAAACUCUGUUAGUACAAAACACAAUUAAUGGCAAAUGCCUGAGGGUUCUGGGUGGGACUCGCUCCUACUUUAUGCCAAAAGAUAAAUGAUGGAGAUGGGUAGCUCUUUCCUUUCUUGUGUUCCGUGUUCGUGCCACCCCUCUUCUCUGUGACAAAGUCAGCCUGUGCCUUACAGGUUGAAUGUGACACAGAACCCAUUCGAUUUAUCCCCAGUGGGUGACUGAGGCAGCUCUCUCUGCCCGUCUUGGUGCCCACCGGGCAGCUGAGCUUGCCAAGUCCAAACCCAAGCCUCAGUGUCAAGUAUCCGUCUUGGGUUUUGGGUUAGAACAUUCCAAGUCCCAGAGCAAGCGAAGGCAGACCUGCUCGAAACCUUUUGAUGGAUUUCUGGUGCAUUGAGGAGGGAACCAGAGCGGACCUCAGCCUAGAAGAUUCCCUAGGAACAGUUUCUCCAGCUUCAGCAGAAGAGCACUCCUAGCCCCAAUCAUGAUAUCCACCAACACCAGCUUCCAAGCUCUUCUCUUCUUUAGCCAUCUUUCCCUACCCCUAGCGUGAUCUUAUCUAGGGGUAGUGAUCUUAUCUUAUGUUUGUCAAGCUCACUCCCACUCAUCCUCAGAGUUCAACUGGAAAGCCAUUUUCUUAGAGGCCUGCUGGGACCUACCAAUCUGAAGCUGUCAAUUGUGUUCAUGCUUCCAAGCACUUUUAAAAUAAGUUAUCAUUAAGAGAAAUAAGUACAGGCUGGGCACGGUGGCUCACGCCUGUAAUCCCAGCACUUUGGGAGGCCCAGGCGGGUGGAUCACCUGAGGUUGGGAGUUUGAGACCAGCCUGACCAACAUGGAGAAACGCUGUCUCUACUAAAAAUACAAAAUUAGCCAGGUAUGGUGGUACGUGCCUAUAAUCCCAGCUACUCAAGAGGCUGAGGCAAGAAUUGCUUGAACCUGGGAGGUGGAGGUUGUGGUGAGCCGAGAUCAUGCCAUUGCUCUCCAGCCUGGACAACAAGCGCAAAACUCCGUUUCCAAAAAAAAGAGAAGUCAGUACAAACUUGGCUGCCCACCUUUCUUCCACUCAUUUAUAAACUUCACGAGAGGAGAGAGUGUGUGUUUUGUUCAUUUUUAUUUGCCUGGUGUUGGGUACAUAGUAAUUUACAAAUAUUUGUGAAAAAAAUGAGUUUAGGAAAUGUAAUGAAAGCAAUAUUUAAAGACACAUCCUAAAGCCACCUUAGGAAGUAAGGGAAGAGGAGCAAAUGUAGUGGAAUAAAUAGAGUUGGCAUAAAGGGGUUGAGGUCCAGACCAUCUAGCUCCAAAGCACAGAACGACACGUCCGGUCUUUAUUCCACACUCCCCGCACUACUGGAAUAACCUGGGAAUUUGGCCCCAUGUAGCAUCUGAAGAACUGUCCACAGAUAGUACAAUACUCCCGGUUCAACACCGGCUUCAGCGGUUAACAUUCUGUUCUCAGAAACCAUCCAAAGGUCUUAGAAAUGCUAAUACCCUAGCAUUCACAUUGCAUCCACCAGUAUCUGUCACACCCAGAGACAGAGACAGGAACAACAACAAAAAGAAGCCUUUGCUGAAUCAUAAAUCCCCACUUUUGGUUAAGAAACUGUGAGGACAGAGCUUACAUGUGUGUCGACCUCAAAGUUAGGGAGGUGUUCCAACAUAGCCUCCCUUCCCUCUGUAACCUACUGCAAGGGUGUAAUUUACUAUUUUAUUUAUAGCGUUUUUCUAGCUAUAUUUUUAAUCUUUACUUAGGGAUGAUGAGCUCUGUAAGUUUACUACCUGCAGUAUGAAGUUGUAAUUUUACAAACUUCUUCGAAACCCUUGUUCUCUAAUAUUUCAAGCCACACUGUGCCCCUUCUCUUUCUUGCUCUCUCUCUCUCUCUCUCUCUCUCUCUCUCUCUUCCCCCCCACCACCAUAGUUUAUCAAAUGGGAAAGGUCCUACUUGUCCUUUCUCCCUGCCUCUCCGCUGCUCAUCUUAGCACUUUGGCCCUCCUGUGUCUGGUAGCUUCUUUAUGGCCAGUUCCUUUCUCAAUGGACUCGCUGUAUAGAGAACCAUUCAGAAGAAUACGGUUUCUCUGCUACUGCUGCUGCUCAGAGGGUGACCUGAAGCAGCAGUACUCUGGGCUCAUGAGGAAUGCAGAAUUCCAGCCCCCACCCUAGGUUCUGAAUCUGAAUCUGCUUAACUAAACAGUAGAUGACUUCUUUGUCCAUGGAAGUUUAAGGAGCUGCUCUAGAGAACCUUCAUCUCAGUUCUCAAGAGCCUUUGCCAGGCCAAGCAUGGUGGCUCAUGCCUGUAAUCCCAGCACUUUGGGAGGCUGAGGCAGGUGGAUCAUGAGGUCAGGAGUUCAAGACCAGCCUGGCCAAUAUGGAAACCCCAUCUCUAGCAAAAAUACAAAAAUUAGCUGGGCAUAUCUGUAAUCCCAGCUUCUUGGGAUGCUGAGGCAGGAGAAUCACUUGAAGCCAGGAGGCACAGGUUGCAGUAAGUCGAGAUCAUGCCACUGCACUCCAACCUGGGUGACAGAGCAAGACUCCAUCUUGAAAAAAAAAAAAAAUCCCUUCCCUGGGGAGCUCCUUCCCAGGUGGUCCCUGCCCCUGCCCCUGCAGCAGACCCUUUCCCUACACAGCAGCUAGCUGCUACUAUGACCCAGUCUAUUCCUCUCUUGGAUUCAAAAGAGCUCAAGGGGUCUCAGGACUCUAAACUCCCAACAAAUGAUGGUUUCAGGGGUUCUGAUAGUAAAUAUCUGCUGCUUUAUGAAUUUAAUAAAGUUUUGUGAGCUA